GGUCCAGACUCCUACGGGAGGCAGCAGUAGGGAAGCUUCCGCAAUGGGCGAAAGCCUGACGGAGCAACGCCGCGUGAGUGAUGAAGGUUUUCGGAUCGUAAAACUCUGUUAUUAGGGAAGAACAAAUGCGUAAGUAACUGUGCGCAUCUUGACGGUACCUAAUCAGAAAGCCACGGCUAACUACGUGCCAGCAGCCGCGGUAAUACGUAGGUGGCAAGCGUUAUCCGGAAUUAUUGGGCGUAAAG
rnacentral:rRNA from 1 species